UGGCUGAAGUCUAAAACAGGUGUUUUGC
rnacentral:piRNA from 1 species